rnacentral:rRNA from 1 species
UAAUUUUAAUAAAUUAUUAUAUUUUUUGGGUAAAAUUAAGAGGUGAAAAAAUUAAUUAUAUAGUGAUAAAUUAGUAGAGGUUAUUAAAAUUUUAUAAAUGUAAAGGUGAUAGAGUAGAGUACUGAAAUGGAAAUUUGAAAUAUUUAUUUAAAGUGAUAUUAGUAGAUGUAAAAUAUUGUACCUUGUGUAUCAGGGAAAUUCUAAAUUGUUUAAAUAUUAUAAUAGUCCCGAAAUAAAAAUAGCUAAUUAUAUUUAGAAGUUUUUGUAACAUAAAAAUUUCAAAAGUGAAAUUAAAGAUGAAAUGUCAUACGAGUUUUAAUAUCUGGUUUUCUGAAAAAUAAAUAUAAUUUAGACUUAUAGAGUAGAUUUCUAUAAAGUUAAGGGUAGGAGGGAUUAGCUUCUUAUUCAAUAAAAUAUUUAUAAUAGUUAGAUUUUUAAAAUUAGUUUUUCUAGGCUUAAGAGUAGCUAUGGUUAAAUAGUGUUUUAACAUAAAGAAAAAAAUUUAAAUGGAUUUAUAUAUGAGACUUUAGGUUUUAUCAGAAUAUUAUUAGAAAUAAUUUAUAUUAAGGAAUAAUGAGUUUAUUAGUAUAAUUAAAUUUAUGUUUAAAUAAGAGAAAGUAAAAUAAUAAGUAUAUAUAAUUAAUUUUGAUGAUAAAGUAAAGGAACUCGGCAAUUUUUUUCUUUGCCUGUUUAUCAAAAACAUGGCUAUUAGAAGGUGUUUAUAGUCUAACCUGCUCACUGACUGGAUAUUGUUUAAGAGCCGCGGUAUUCUGACCGUGCAAAGGUAGCAUAAUCAUUAGUUUUUUAAUUGAAAACUUGUAUGAAUGGUUGGACAAGAGAAAAACUGUCUCUAUUUUAAAAAUUGAAAUUAACUUUUAAGUGAAAAGGCUUAAAUUUUUCAAUGGGACGAUAAGACCCUAUAAAGCUUUAUAUUAUAUUUAAAUUUGAUUAAAUUAUUAAAGUAUAAAAGUUUAGUUUAAAUCAUAUAUUUUGUUGGGGCGACAUGUAUAUAAGUAAAUUUAACUGUAUAGGUUUAUAAUCAUUUAUAGGUGAAUAGGUGUAAAUGAUCCCUUUUAAGGAUUAAAAGAUUAAGUUACUUUAGGGAUAACAGCGUUAUUUUUUUUGAGAGUUCUUAUCGAAAAAGAAGUUUGCGACCUCGAUGUUGAAUUAAAAUGUCUUUAUGGUGUAGCUGCUAUAAAAGGAAGGUCUGUUCGACCUUUAAAAUUUUACAUGAUUUGAGUUCAGACCGGCGUGAGCCAGGUCGGUUUCUAUCUUUUGAAAAAAAAAAGUUAUUUUAGUACGAAAGGAUUGAAUAACUAAAAUAAUUUUAUGGUAAUGAAAG